AACAAGGAUUCCCCUAGUAACGGCGAGUGAACCGGGAAAAGCUCAAAUUUGAAAUCUGGCGUCCUCAGGGCGUCCGAGUUGUAAUCUAUAGAGGCGUUUUCCGUGCCGGACCGUGUCCAAGUCCCUUGGAACAGGGUAUCAAAGAGGGUGACAAUCCCGUACUUGACACGACUACCGGUGCUCUGUGAUACGUCUUCUACGAGUCGAGUUGUUUGGGAAUGCAGCUCAAAAUGGGUGGUGAGUUCCAUCUAAAGCUAAAUAUUGGCGAGAGACCGAUAGCGAACAAGUACCGUGAGGGAAAGAUGAAAAGCACUUUGGAAAGAGAGUUAAACAGUACGUGAAAUUGUUGAAAGGGAAACGAUUGAAGUCAGUCGUGACCGAGAGGCUCAGCCGGCUCUGCCGGUGUAUUCCCCUCGGUCGGGUCAACAUCAGUUUUGUCCGGUGGAUAAGGGCGGUAGGAAGGUGGCACCCACGGGUGUGUUAUAGCCUGCCGUCACAUACACUGGGUGAGACUGAGGAAUGCAGCUCGCCUUUAUGGCCGGGGUUCGCCCACGUCCGAGCUUAGGAUGUUGACAUAAUGGCUUUAAACGACCCGUCUUGAAACACGGACC
rnacentral:rRNA from 1 species